rnacentral:rRNA from 1 species
AUUGAACGCUGGCGGCAGGCCUAACACAUGCAAGUCGAACGGUAGCAGGAAACAGCUUGCUGUUUCGCUGACGAGUGGCGGACGGGUGAGUAAUGUCUGGGAAACUGCCUGAUGGAGGGGGAUAACUACUGGAAACGGUAGCUAAUACCGCAUAACGUCGCAAGACCAAAGAGGGGGACCUUCGGGCCUCUUGCCAUCGGAUGUGCCCAGAUGGGAUUAGCUAGUAGGUGGGGUAACGGCUCACCUAGGCGACGAUCCCUAGCUGGUCCGAGAGGAAGACCAGGCACACUGGAACUGAGACACGGUCCAGACUCCUACGGGAGGCAGCAGUGGGGAAUAUUGCACAAUGGGCGCAAGCCUGAUGCAGCCAUGCCGCGUGUAUGAAGAAGGCCUUCGGGUUGUAAAGUACUUUCAGCGGGGAGGAAGGGAGUAAAGUCAAUACCUUUGCUCAUUGACGUUACCCGCAGAAGAAGCACCGGCUAACUCCGUGCCAGCCGCCGCCGCGG